rnacentral:rRNA from 1 species
CGAGGGGUAACAGGGGAAAAGCUUGCUUUUUUGCUGACGACCGGCGAACGGCUGCGUAACGCGUAUAGAAUCUGCCUUGUACAGGAGGAUAGCCUUUAGAAAUGAAGAUUAAUACUCCAUAAUGUUGAGAGAUGGCAUCAUCUUUUAAUUAAAGAUUUAUCGGUACAAGAUGACUAUGCGUCCUAUUAGCUAGAUGGUAAGGUAACGGCUUACCAUGGCAACGAUAGGUAGGGGGUCUGAGAGGAUUAUCCCCCACACUGGUACUGAGACACGGACCAGACUCCUACGGG